rnacentral:lncRNA from 1 species
GACACUCUUCAAAAACUGGCAACAGGAAACACGUCACGCCUAGUUUCAACUCCAUCCGUUAGUUGACGCGAGCAUCAGAAAAAAAGAAUGUGAAAUAAACUUACAGACAACGUUUUAUUUUUUUUAAUUCUUUCCCACUAAAAGUGAAAAACUUUUGCGUGUAAAUGAACUUUUACUUUGCGACUUAUUUUUGUUGCGUUGCCUAGCAGCAAGCUAGCAGCACGCCAGACGCGCGUGCAUACGUCAUGCGCCAGACAAGCCGCAGGAGUGAGCGAGGCCGGCUGCGCAUGUGAAGCUCGCGUGCUCGGCGACCCGUCUCUUUUGGAUGUAGCCCGUUUUUUGGGCUCCCGGCGUUCUCUUGUGUUCCGUCUGCAUUUCGACACGGCACAGCUGCACUACUGGACUACAGCAAGCUAAUGGCAUCCGGUGGAGCUUCGUACGGCAACGAUUGCUGCUUACCUGGUGCCACAACUUUGGAUGAAUGCAGAAGCCCGGAACGAGCAUUUAUAUAGAGAAAAAUAAACAUUUUAUCAUUUCAGAA